ensembl:lncRNA
CAACUGACUGCUGGUGGACAAAGGACAAAUAAUAUUUUAUGAUGUCAAGGACAACUCAGAUCCCAUGAAAGGACUUGAAGAUUCAGUCUGGCUACUGGUGUUAGAGAUGGCAGGAAUGAAUAUCCUUAUUUUUUAAACUCAGUGAAUUUUACUCCAAGCUCCCUUUUUUUUUUUAACUGGGGACUUAGUCCCCUGUAGCAUUCUCCUUUUGGAGAAAUUUGUAACCACAAAGAUCCACCAGCUGGAAUUGAACUGGCUGAGACUGCUGAUCAUCAGAGAAAUCCUAUAGACACCAGAUGGGGAAAAGACGGCAUGGAUUAUUUUCUAAUGCUGCAGAUUUGGUCCAUCUCUCUCAGAAAACCUUCUUUAACCAGGCAGCACCAGCACUGGUACCCUGUCCGCCGCACUGGAUUUCACCAUUGUGGGAGCAAGAACACCGAUCCAAAGCUAAGCAGAUGCCCUACCUCAGACAUGAGGCCAGAACCACCCAACCAUUAGCCCAUCCCUGCCACAAGACCAAAUAUCUUCCUUCUCAAUGGCCCAAACAGCCAGGCAUAGCUACACAGAUGCUCUGCAUGGAUCACAAGGCUGUUCCCCUACCCUUUCUUCAUUACCAGAGUGUGACUAAGGCAUCCCUACCCCGGAAACACCACACAGCCAACUCAAUCUUGACUAUACUCAAGUCUGACUUCAGAUCCAGGGUAACAGCUGUCCCUCUGACAUCUGCCAAACAGCAUCUCAUACCUUCUCUGCUCGACUCCAAACACCAACUUGAGAGUUCCCGGGACUCCAGGUGUAGGAUGGAGGCUGCUUCCGGGCCUAACCUCCUUCCCAGGAUUUUUGCUGACUGUGACCAUCUACCUGAAGAUCUAACACACCUCAGCCAGCAUCCCCCAUCUUCAAAAUUCCUUUACCACCAGGCUGAGUUUCCAUUCAUGGGCAACAGGACCAUAAAAGGAACUGGAACCAAAGCAUUUCCCAAGUACCAAGCCAAGACCACACACAAACCAGUGAAAUCAGUUCUCUCACCUGAAGCUUUGUCAAGGCCCAGACUCCAAGACAGAGUUCUAACCACUAAGCUCAGUCCCAUAGGUGUGCCCUCAUCACCUCGUCCUGACCAUUGGUCCAAGGCCAUAUCAUUUAAGGCAUCUGACUUGGGCCAUUGGGUCCAGGCCAAAACUUGUAAGGUUUUACAAUCUGAGCAUGGCUUAAAGAAGACAGUGUCACUAUUACGAUGCAUUGACAAGCGUUCCAAAGAUCCAUCUAUGCUUUUAUCAAAUCUGAAUGGGAGAACCAGGGCCACAACUGCAUGUCCACCCUGCCCACAACACUGGACUACAGCCAGCAGCAAAGCCACAGCUUUGCCAUCACAAGGUCCAAAACAUCAGGCCAGUAUAACACUUACACCAUCACAAGACUUCAAGCCAUUGGAAGCUUCUUCAUCAUGCCUGGAAGAUCCCUGUGCUAAAACCACCUCUUCACCUUUCACUGAGGCUCCACUGGGCCCUGAUUACAAGGCCAAGGACACAUCUGGACUAUCCCUACUCUCUGAACACCAAGUUGCACCAAUCAUAAUUCCAGUCUAUUUAGAUCACUGUAGAAAGACAGCACAGGACUCUCAACUUGACGCCACAACGCUGCUCUUCCCAAGCUACCAGAAGAGCACCUCCUCAGGCUCUGAUGUACAAGUCACACAUCUACAGCAUGCUCCAGGCUUGGGUGUCCAGACAGCACUACCCUUAGUAUGUCACCAGGACACAGCAGUGAUAGGUAGUCAGGACCAGCAGGUUGAAGUUCUACAAGACAAGAACCCAGAGGCACCAACUCCUAAGGGUCUGGACCAUCUGGCCAUAAAUCCAGUUGACCUGGACCCUUCAACAAUGUCACCACCUAAGUCAGACUAUAAGGCCACACUACCAUUCAGCUAUGAAUGCAAGGUCAUAGCUCUAUGUAGAAAUGAAUACAAAACUGAACCUGCUGCAUCAGACCCAAAUGAGCCACAGACAAUACUGCCAACAGACCAUGACAACCAAGAACCACCUCAACUAGACCCAGACUCAACCCAGAGAUUAACUCAAUUGAACUCUGGCCGCAGAGCCACAUAUUCACCUAGCUCUGAUGACCACCAGACUGAAAAUAUACAAAACUGUCAUAAACAGCUCACACCUCAAGAUCAACUAGACCAGAGGGAAACAAAACCACCAGGACCAGGCCCCCAGGCCAUAACUCUCGUGGAUCAGGAUCAUGAGUAUAAACUUUCAAUAGACAUAAAAGCCCAAGACAAAACAGACCAGGUUCAUUGGAGAACACCCCCACUGGAUAUAGAACAAAAGGACACAAAUCCACCUGGUUCUGACCCUCAGAUUGCACUUCUCCCCAGUCAUGUCUACAAAGGUACAGAUGUACCAGGUCCAGAUGCCCCGGUCUAUGCUAAACCAGAACAUCAGGAAAUAAUGCCACCAGAAAGAGACCACAAGGGGCCAGCUUCCAUAGGCCAGGCAGCAUGGAAAACAUCUCCACUGAGCAUAACAGACCCUAAGAACCUGAUGCACCCUGGUCCUCAACACCAGACAACACUUCCAGCCAGUCCCAAUCCAAGGGUCAUAAUACCACACAGCCUUGACCGUACCCCAGGUGCGAAUGCCCAGGGCAUACUUCAAACUGAACAAGAUGUGUUCAUAUUUCAAAAUGAACAAGAGUGUGAAGCGUUGCCCCUGGGAAUAAGCCACCAGGUCAUGACUAUUGAAGACUUAUCACACAAAGCAGUGACUCUACCAGGCUUAGAUUUCCAAUUUCUACCUGAGCCAGAAGACCAAACCCCAAUGCUGCUACAUGCUGACCAACAGUCUGAGGAUGCACUGGACAGCAACACUUGGGUCUCACUCCAGAAAGAACGGCAUCAUUGGCAAACAGUGCCACUUGGAACAUAUAAUAGGGAUACAACUACAGAAGUCUGGGAUCACAAAGUAAUACCCACACUGGGCCUAAACCUAAUGGAUACAGCUCUACCUAACCUUGACCACAGGGCCACACAUCCACUCAGUCUAGACUUCCAGGUCAUUCCUCCACUGACAACUGACCACCAAGAUGACUUGGUUUCAGAAGCCAGUGAUGAGAUCUCAAAGGUUCGACUGGAACGAGGUCCACAGGGAGCAAUACCACCAGAAGAAGACCACCAAGACACAGCUGUCCCAAGCCAGGAUCAGCAGGCAAUACCUUCACUAAACAUAGAACUCUGUGAAGUAACUCUAUUUGGUCUCAAUUUUCAGAAUGAACUGCAAUUCAUCUCUGAUCAUCAAUCAGAGGCUGUCCCAGACCCCAAUACCCAAGUCACACCGCCAUUAGACCUAUACCACUCAGCAAAAAUGCUAGUGGGUCCACGGCAGGUCAUACCUUCAUCUAGUCCCAAGUCCCCAUUUGUUCUUCUAACCAGACUUAAAAACAAGAAUGAGGCUAAAUCAGAUGUCACUGACUCCAAGGGCACAACGCCAUGUCUGGAUGAGGAGGAAAUAGCUUCACCAAGCCCAAUAUAUAGGGCCAAAACCCCAUCAGGUCCUAAACACCCAAAUGAGGCUCCAAUAGCUUGUGACCACCAUCCUGAGGCUGAACUGAGCUCUGGGCACCCAGAUGAGGUUCAGUCUAGUAUUCAACACCAAACCUUUUCCAGAAAAAAAAGUCAAAUUUUGUGGCGUUUAAAUUAUAUCAAGCCAUACACCAUUGAGGGGGGUGAUGUCCCUGAAAAAAUUAUUGAUGACAUCAUUUGUUCCAUCCCUCAGGAUGAAAUAAAAAAUGACAUCUGCAGACAGACUAUCUUGCAGAAGAUGAAGAGGGUGUCCACCAUUCAUUGUUAUUACCAGGGCAUCCCACUGGAUUAUCCAGUGUGCCUAAUUUGUGUCUCUUGGAUACCAAAUGGCUGUCCCCAUGUUUGGGGGAUGAAAUAUCCUUGUGAGGCACAACUGCUGGUCAUACCAGUGCCUGUGUCCGAUUCUGAGGAGGAAAUAAAUGUGAAAUUUAUUCUCCAAGUACGCCGUGCAACCAGAUGUUCCAUUUUUUCUCUCCCAUACCCCUAUUAUGAUUUGCAGGGGCCCUUAGCCCAUCCAUUGAAUUCAACAGUAUCUUCCCACUCAGACCUGGUGCUCCCUGUGUCUUCCAUGCGGAAAUGGCUCGGCUUUAUACUUGGCAAGGACCCCCAGCCAGAGGGAAGGACCCUACCUACAAGCCAAUGGCCUUACAAGGGGGAAAUAGCCAUUGAAAAAGAUGGUGGUAGAGAGGAAGCAACAUCAAAGGAACGUAGAACAUUUCUCAGAUCUAUACUAGACAUGUUGCAAAAAAAGCAGAGGAGGAAUUAAAUGACCGUAUUUUCUCUCAGAAAGGAAUUGACUCCCCUGAAUAUCUUUGCAACUUGUUUCUGAUUUUUGUGUCUCACUUUGUUCUUCCAUGUACUUUGACGGGGAGAGGACAAAACCUUUGUAUUUCCUUUUCAAUUUGGGCAGGGAGAGCCAGUUAGAGACAUUUAUAAUGUAAUGAAAAGAGAAAAUCUUCAUCCUUUCUCCUCCUUCUCAUUCUAUAUUUUAGCUUCCAGAAAAGCAAACUUUUCUCUAAAUGACUCCCCAUAGAAGAGAUUAGCCUCAUUCUCUAUCUCCCUCUCAUGCCCUAUUUUAUAGCAAUUUAGUGAAUAAGUUAUUCUCCCAGUAAGGCUUGGUAAAACACACCAUAUUAUCCAGAAAACUCUUUAUUCUGACCUACUUCCUCAUCCAAUCGUCACCUCAAAUACAAUUGCAAUUAAAAUUCUAUACUUGAAUAUUUCAGCAUUUCAGAUUUCAUGAUUUCAUUAGAACUCUGUUCAAACCUGAGGAAACAAUAGAUGGACAUCUUCACCUUUUACUAAAGCCAAAACCAUCCUACCCUUUUCAUGGUGAGCCCAUACUUUCACUGGUGGUGUGAGGUAGUUCCUUGCCAGGACCUAAAGGGAGGUUUCAUAGAAAAAUUAGAUGAACUUUCCAGUGCUGAAAGCAAUCAACUUUUAUUUGGAAUGUUUCGGAUCAUAAGAAUAGGCUAUGUGGCUUAACUGGAGAUACCCAAGGCUGGAAGCAUGGAAUGAAGAGACCAGAGAUAAGACGGGAAUGGGACUUAGGCAGAAUUAUUUCUCUACUCCCAUCCUAGAGCAACAGAGGACAUCAAUGAAAUGGGCCAUGGAAGAACAAGGAAGGGAUACUUCUAGGGAUGUUACCAAAGAUUCAGACUUGAUGGUCUGCAGGCCACGGCAUAAGUAGGAAGGAGUCCACAAUGGGCCUAUAAUGGGUCAGCCUUUGGACUCAGUACAUCAUCAUGCCAGUUCCAUGGAUUGGUUUCCUGGAAGUUUCUAGCCUGACAGAUUCUGCAAAAGGUGGGAGUCACCUGGAAUGCUCUCCCUUCCCAACUCUGCCUUUCAGAAUCCCUAGCUUCCUUCAAAAUUCUGUUUAAAUGCCAAAUUCUACUUGAGGCCUUUCUGGACACCCUUCCCUAUCUUCUCCUCUCUCCUAACUCCAACCAAUAAUUUUCUAUUUUUCAUUUUCUUUUUUUAACUUCUGUGUACACAAUGUUAGCUGCUUGAAGGAGGUACCAUUUAAUUUUUGUGCCUAGCAUAGUAUCUGAUAAAUAGUGUACAGGAAUACCUCAGAGAUAUUGUGGAUUUGGUUCCAGAGCACCAAAAUAAAAUGAAUUAUCACAAUAAAGUGAGUCA